rnacentral:rRNA from 1 species
GACGAACGCUGGCGGCGUGCUUAACACAUGCAAGUCGAACGGAAAGGCCCUGCUUUUGUGGGGUGCUCGAGUGGCGCACGGGUGAGUAACACGUGAGUAACCUGCCCUUGACUUUGGGAUAACUUCAGGGAACUGGGGCUCAUACCGGAUAGGAGCUCCUGCUCCAUGUUGGGGGUUGGAAAGUUUCGGCGGUUGGGGAUGGACUCGCGGCUUAUCAGCUUGUUGGUGGGGUAGUGGCUUACCAAGGCUUUGACGGGUACGCGGCCUGAGCGGGUGACCCGCCACACUGGGACUGAGAGACGGCACAGACUCCUACGGGAGGCAGCAGUGGGGAAUAUUGCAGAAGGGGCGGAGGCCUGAUGCAGCAACGCCGCGUGCGGGAUAACGGCCUUCGGGUUGUAAACCGCUUUCGCCUGUGACGAAGCGUGAGUGACGGUAAUGGGUAAAGAAGCACCGGCUAACUACGUG